rnacentral:lncRNA from 1 species
AUUGGAAUGUGAUACAAAACAAGGCAACGGUGUGCUUUAGGACCCUGCGGACACCUCCGAGCGGUCAGGUUGGAGUGUCUAUCCGACUGGAAUUAGGACUACGCGAACACCACAGAGCGGGCUGACAGGUGGUGUGAAGGCAAAGCUUCUGGAAGGCUGGCUGGACCAGCACGGGAGAGUUGAGCAUAGUACAGUGUGUACGCGUUGCAAUCUUUCACCGAGUUGUAAAAGGAAGCAAAACAGAAACUGGCAAAUCUUUAGUUGACUGAUGUAGCUGGCAAGGGGUGAUGGUCGGAUUCGCGUUUAUCAUUGAAGGAAUGAGCGUUACACUGAGGCCUGUACUCUGGAGCGGGAUCGAUUUGGAGGUGGAGGGAACGUCGUGGUCUGGGGCGGUGUGUCACAGCAUCAUCGGACUGAGCUUGUUGUCAUUGCAGGCAAUCUCAAUGCUGUGUGUUACAGGGAAGAUUUCCUGCAAGAUUUCCUGCAAGACAGGAAUGUCAGUGUUCUGCCGUGGCCAGUGAAGAGCCCGGAUCUCAAUCCCAUUGAGCAUGUCUGGGACCUGUUGGAUCGGAGGGUGAGGGCUAGGGCCAUUGCCCCCAGAAAUGUCUGGGAACUUGCAGGUGCCUUGGUGGAAGAGUGGGGUAACAUCUCACAGCAAGAACUGGCAAAUCUGGUGCAGUCCAUGAGGAGGAGAUGCGCUGCCGUACUUAAUGCAGCUGGUGGCCACACCAGAUACUGACUGUUACUUCUGAUUUUGACCCCCCCCUUUGUUCAGGGACACAUUAUUCCAUUUCUGUUAGUCACAUGUCUGUGGAACUUGUUCAGUUUAUGUCUCAGUUGUUGAAUCUUGUUAUGUUCAUACAAAUAUUUACACAUCUUAAGUUUGCUGAAAAUAAACGCAAUUGACAGUGAGAGGGCGUUUCUUUUUAUACUGAGUUUAAAUGCAUUGCCAUUAAUAGGAAGGUUGGUUAUCCUCCCACAAUGUAUAGAAGAAAUGUCAACUUAUGUACAGUAUCACUAGAUUUGUUUUAAGAUUAAGGGUAUACUGUGCAACUUUCAUGAGGUCUGGAUGCCUUAUGUGGAAUACUGUAACACAAAGGGAGUAUGUAUUGAAAACAUGCCUAUGUCAGGGGAGAUUUAGGCAAUCUUUAGCUGCUGGGCAGCUCAGUCCUGGCCCUGGGGGUCUGCUGUGCUGUUGUCACUCUGGCCUAACACACCUGAAACCAAUAAUGAAUGUUUCACUAAGAUCCUAAAGCUGAGUGGG